rnacentral:lncRNA from 1 species
AUGCAGUGUCCCCCUGUGGUGGUUUUUGGGGCAUGGGCUGUACCCAUGGCUGGGUUUUUCUCUCCAGAUAUCUGCACAACCUUCAUCUUCCCUCUGCACCUGGCCGAGUUGCUUCAGCCUCUACAAGACACAUAUUUGAAGGAAGUUCUCUCAAUCCUGGUAAGGAAAGUGAGUGAAAGGACAUCUACAUCCUCCUCCUUCCCACUCCACCUGAGCCACCUACGCCUCUUCAGGGGGCCCCAAGGGACCUACCUUAAUCCAGAUCAAAUCUCCUCAAACUUCUUCCCUCACACCCGAGUUUCUUCCCCCCCAGGAGUCUCCUGGUGCAUGGAACUGACCAGAAACUGGGGUUCCCCAAAGCCUCUGUCUGCCUUCUGCAGCUGA